GAUGAACGCUGGCGGUCUGCUUAACACAUGCAAGUCGAACGGAAUCCUUCGGGAUUUAGUGGCGGACGGGUGAGUAACGCGUGAGAAUCUGCCUUCAGGUUAGGGACAACAGCUGGAAACGGCUGCUAAUACCGGAUGUGCCGAGAGGUGAAAGCUUUAGUGCCUGAAGAUGAGCUCGCGUCUGAUUAGCUAGUAGGAGUGGUAAUGGCACCCCUAGGCGACGAUCAGUAGCUGGUCUGAGAGGAUGAUCAGCCACACUGGGACUGAGACACGGCCCAGACUCCUACGGGAGGCAGCAGUGGGGAAUUUUCCGCACUGGGCGCAAGCCUGACGGAGCAAGACCGCGUGAGGGAAGAAGGUCUGUGGAUUGUAAACCUCUUUUGAUGGGGAAGAAGACAGUGACGGUACCCAUCGAAUCAGCCUCGGCUAACUCCGUGCCAGCAGCCGCGGUAA
rnacentral:rRNA from 1 species